rnacentral:snRNA from 2 species
GUUGUCUCUUCGAAAACAUCCAAUAAAAUUGAAACAAUACAGAAAAGAUUAGCAUGUACCACGCAAGAAUGACACGCACGGAUCGCAAAAUAGUUCAAAAGAAUUU